rnacentral:rRNA from 1 species
UACGUAGGGGGCGAGCGUUGUCCGGAAUCAUUGGGCGUAAAGGGCGCGUAGGCGGAUCAUUAAGUCUGGUGUGAAAUAUAGGGGCUCAACCCCUAAACUGCAUCGGAAACUGGUGAUCUUGAGGACAGGAGAGGAAAGUGGAAUUCCACGUGUAGCGGUGAAAUGCGUAGAGAUGUGGAGGAACACCAGUGGCGAAGGCGACUUUCUGGACUGUAACUGACGCUGAGGCGCGAAAGCGUGGGGAGCAAACAGGAUUAGAUACCCUGGUAGUCCACGCCGUAAACGAUGAGUGCUAGGUGUAGAGGGUAUCGACCCCCUCUGUGCCGCAGUUAACACAAUAAGCACUCCGCCUGGGGAGUACGGCCGCAAGGUUGAA